CUCUUCGCAACACAAACUGUUCUCGUUCCCAUUUAUCACAACCACACACAAAAAAUCUUUUCGAUCGUCACAUAAGUAACCCCGCGCCUCGAUUCGCAUCAUUGUCAACUUUAGAUGAAAAACAUAAGAAAACUGUAUUCACUUCCCGCACACCCCCUUCCACCAAAACCACCCCCACCACCUCUCCGCCCACCCCAGCCAAAAUGUACUGUGGGCUUGGAAAAGGGAAGUUGACAGCAGAACAAAACCAAACGGUGUGUCGACAAUAGGCGUUAGAUGGGACUAUUGACAGAAAAACCAAAGUAGCGUUGGAAAAGGAUGCGCAAUCAAUACUCGGGCAGCUUCCGGACUUCGGGAACUCUAAUCUGUGACAGAGAAAGUUGGAAGUGAAGAUAAGGAGAGUGCUGCAAGGGGUUAACACCCAAUACAGGAUGUGACACUGUUUCCAAUCUGAAAUCUUAAAUUUGGCGCUUAAAGCUACAAAUGAGUUUUGAGGGACGGUAACACCGAAGCUGGAGGUAUGCAGUAGGACCAGUGAAAAUAACAGAAAGGCCUUCUGGUCCUUCAUCGUGGCCCACGUGCAAUGACCAAAAAAUGCCCUUUCCAGUCCCUGAUCGAAUUCGAAUGUGGAUUAAAGACUAUCACACGACUUCCAAUGGAGUUCUGCGUGAAGACGUGUUUGUUCUCCCAGCAGUGACUUUAUAAAGGCAAAAGACUCCGGAGGGACUUGGGAAACACGUGCUGCAUUUGGCAGGAGCUCGUUAUCAAAACAUUCAGGAUUCUGACAUUUUGCAGCUUCAAGAUCAGGCGACCUUUUGUGCCAAAGCGCGGAUGGGGAUAAAAUGUGGUUGGACUCUGCCAAACAAUACAUAAAGCUUCUGAGAAGUUUAGAAUUGACACAGCUAUGGGAGAGACUGCAGCAAGAGGAGGAAAAUAAUUAUGUUGAUGAGAAGGCAAAGUGAUGAAGACUGUAAAUCUUUCUCGUAACUUAUGAUGUCAAAGGCUAAGAGGAGGAUGAUGAAGGAGAGGAAGUCAAGGUCAAGGAAGCCAAUGAGUCCCAAUGUCAACAUCCUGCCAAUUGUUCUCCUGUCAUUACUCACUGACUCUCUCAUCCUGCAUUUUUACUUUUUCACUUAUGUGCACCAGCUUAAAAUACAUACAGCCGAGAGGAAUUUGUAAGUGCCAAGUGAGACAACAGAAUGGAAGAAAAAAAUUCCAAUAAAUGCUGGCUAUUUUUAAGACUUUCAACAGAAUUAAAGUUGCUGCUUUGGUUAGG